GAGGGUAUGGCUCAGUGGUAGAGCGCUUGCUUAGCAUUCAUCAAGGUCCUGGGUUCAAUCCCCAGUACCUACA
rnacentral:tRNA from 1 species